AUCCUGCUUCCCUCCCUUAUAACCAACCAAACCCUUAUUAUCUUUUCCAAAGCUGGCCGUGUAUCCCCAUCAAGGCCAUCAACCUUCCUAUUCCAACGCUUCUAUAAUUCCCCAUCAAGGUUAUGACACUAGACCUCACCUACAUCCGGGGCUCAAUGGCAGCCAUCCUUUUGAGUCCUCCAAGACUCAACUUGCCCCCAAAACAUCUACUUCCAUUUCCGUCAGUUUCGUAACCCGGUCUAACGCCGAUAGGGUUCUUCUCUUUACAGAAGCACGAGAGGAAAGCUUUUAUGACUGUCUUCCUCUUUUUCUUUCAUUGUGACUACUGGCAUCUUGGACCGUCCGAAAGGGAAUUUAAAGGCAGAUGGAUACUGGUGCAUCUAGAUUUUAUGGCUGGAAAUAAGAAUUUUUACAUGCGAAGGAGAAAAAUUGAAUGGCUUAAAAUUUUUGACUCUAUUCUUCUUAAGAAUCUGGUUCUGGGAUAAUGUAGGGUAUGCCAGGUUCACUUUACCCUUUCUUCUGGUCUAGCUUCCCAAAAUCUAAGUAGAAGUUACUUUUCUGUUUUGUUAAUGAUUUUGUCAAGCAGUAAUUGUGUUGUAUGCCUGUGUAUUGUUUAUUAAAGUUAAUUUAAUCUGGACAUGUCUAAAGAGGUUUAGUUGUUUCAGCCAGAUAUAAAGGCAUGUUGGGUACUAUAGCGACUAUUGCAGGGGAAGAGGGUUUGCCUGCUUUCUGGAAGGGUAUUGUGCCAGGGUUGCAUCGCCAAUGUCAGUAUGGAGGCUUGAGGAUUGGCCUAUAUGAACCUGUGCAAUUGCAAUAAUUAUUGCCAAUCCAAUUUGUGCCGAAAUGUAACACUUUAGAGACAUCCGGGAUAACUAAUAAGUACUUGUCAGAAUUAUAGCACCUUAGCUGCUGAAGCCGAAGCUGAAAGCUGUUGCUGAAGCCGAAGCUUCUGCUGUUGCUGAAGCCGAAGCAGCUGUUGUUGCUGAAGCCGAAGCAGCUGCUGCUUUUGUUGAAGUAGCUGAAGCUGCUGAGCUGCUGUUGCUGACAUAUUAGUAGAAUUGUGUAUUUCUUAAAUUUUACACAUUUUUUUUACCAUAAAAUCAUUGUUUUUUAAUUAAGUUUAUUUAUUUCUUUACCAUAUUUAUUAGUAUUGUUUUACAAUAAUGGCCUUAUGUAAAUAUUCCAAUUAUGUGCUUUAAAACAUAACU